rnacentral:lncRNA from 1 species
UAGGAUCAACAGAUCAAGGUAGGAUCUCAGUAGAGAUUUGGUGAUGUACAAUCAUUCAUGGUUAAGUAAUAGAUGUGUUUUUAUUCUUUAGCGAUCUAAGUAUCUCCUUCUAUGGUUUUAUGCUUUAUCGGGUUUGCCUACUUUUAAUCUAUGAUUGAUAAUAGAUUGUAUAGGAUGUUAAUGUGAUCGUGGUGACUAGAUUUGCAUACAUGAUCUACCGAUGAGUAUGACAUGUUGUUUAUGUUCAUGUCCUUGAAUUGUCUGUGUUGAUAGGGGGGUCCUGGCAAGGUCUGCUUCCUUGUAAGGCAG